rnacentral:rRNA from 1 species
GAUGAACGCUGGCGGCGUGCCUAAUACAUGCAAGUCGAGCGAACAGACGAGGAGCUUGCUCCUCUGACGUUAGCGGCGGACGGGUGAGUAACACGUGGAUAACCUACCUAUAAGACUGGGAUAACUUCGGGAAACCGGAGCUAAUACCGGAUAAUAUAUUGAACCGCAUGGUUCAAUAGUGAAAGGCGGUUUUGCUGUCACUUAUAGAUGGAUCCGCGCCGCAUUAGCUAGUUGGUAAGGUAACGGCUUACCAAGGCAACGAUGCGUAGCCGACCUGAGAGGGUGAUCGGCCACACUGGAACUGAGGCACGGUCCAGACUCCUACGGGAGGCAGCAGUAGGGAAUCUUCCGCAAUGGGCGAAAGCCUGACGGAGCAACGCCGCGUGAGUGAUGAAGGUCUUCGGAUCGUAAAACUCUGUUAUUAGGGAAGAACAAAUGUGUAAGUAACUAUGCACGUCCUGACGGUACCUAAUCAGAAAGCCACGGCUAACUACGUG